ACGGGAGGCAGCAGUGAGGAAUAUUGGUCAAUGGGCGAGAGCCUGAACCAGCCAAGUCGCGUGAGGGAAGACGGCCCUAUGGGUUGUAAACCUCUUUUAUGCGGGAAUAAAGUGCCCCAUGCGUGGGGUUUUGCAUGUACCGCAGGAAUAAGGAUCGGCUAACUCCGUGCCAGCAGCCGCGGUAAUACGGAGGAUCCGAGUGUUAUCCGGAUUUAUUGGGUUUAAAGGGUGCGUAGGCGGGGGAUCAAGUCAGUGGGGAAAUGGUGCGGCUAAACCGUAGCAUGCCGUUGAAACUGGUUUUCUUGAGUGCGAAUGAGGUGGGCGGAAUGUGUCAUGUAGCGGUGAAAUGCAUAGAUAUGACACAGAACACCGAUUGCGAAGGCAGCCCACUGGGACGCGACUGACGCUGAGGCACGAAAGUGCGGGGAUCGAACAGGAUUAGAUACCCUGGUA
rnacentral:rRNA from 1 species